rnacentral:rRNA from 1 species
GAUGCUAAUACCGGAUAACAACACUAGACGCAUGUCUAGAGUUUGAAAGAUGGUUCUGCUAUCACUCUUGGAUGGACCUGCGGUGCAUUAGCUAGUUGGUAAGGUAACGGCUUACCAAGGCAAUGAUGCAUAGCCGAGUUGAGAGACUGAUCGGCCACAUUGGGACUGAGACACGGCCCAAACUCCUACGGGAGGCAGCAGUAGGGAAUCUUCCACAAUGGACGAAAGUCUGAUGGAGCAACGCCGCGUGAGUGAAGAAGGGUUUCGGCUCGUAAAGCUCUGUUGGUAGUGAAGAAAGAUAGAGGUAGUAACUGGCCUUUAUUUGACGGUAAUUACUUAGAAAGUCACGGCUAACUACGUGCCAGCAGCCGCGGUGAUACGUAGGUGGCAAGCGUUGUCCGGAUUUAUUGGGCGUAAAGCGAGUGCAGGCGGUUCAAUAAGUCUGAUGUGAAAGCCUUCGGCUCAACCGGAGAAUUGCAUCAGAAACUGUUGAACUUGAGUGCAGAAGAGGAGAGUGGAACUCCAUGUGUAGCGGUGGAAUGCGUAGAUAUAUGGAAGAACACCAGUGGCGAAGGCGGCUCUCUGGUCUGCAACUGACGCUGAGGCUCGAAAGCAUGGGUAGCGAACAGGAUUAGAUACCCUGGUAGUCCAUGCCGUAAACGA